UCCCUACGGGUGGCUGCAGUGGGGAAUAUUGGACAAUGGGCGCAAGCCUGAUCCAGCCAUGCCGCGUGAGUGAUGAAGGUCUUAGGAUUGUAAAGCUCUUUCACCGAUGAAGAUAAUGACGGUAGUCGGAGAAGAAGCCCCGGCUAACUUCGUGCCAGCAGCCGCGGUAAUACGAAGGGGGCUAGCGUUGUUCGGAAUUACUGGGCGUAAAGCGCACGUAGGCGGAUAUUUAAGUCAGGGGUGAAAUCCCGCAGCUCAACUGCGGAACUGCCGUUGAUACUGGGUAUCUUGAGUAUGGAAGAGGUGAGUGGAAUUCCGAGUGUAGAGGUGAAAUUCGUAGAUAUUCGGAGGAACACCAGUGGCGAAGGCGGCUCACUGGUCCAUUACUGACGCUGAGGUGCGAAAGCGUGGGGAGCAAACAGGAUUAGAUACCCCAGUAGUCUC
rnacentral:rRNA from 1 species